GGAAGACAAACCACUGGUAGUAUCUAAACAGAAGACAGAGGUGGUAUGCGGUGUGCCCACCCAGGUGGUCUGCACGGCCUUCAGCAGCCACAUCCUGGUUGUGGUGACCCAAUUCGGGAAGAUGGCCUCUCAUCCAUGUCUUUGCAAAGAACCUGGUAGCAUUCGUGUCUGAAGAAGCAGGAGACAGAGCCGUCCUCCUGGCCAUGGCUGUGAAGGAGAAGAACAUGGAGAGGCUGAAGGCCUUGAAGGAGGUGAUCCGGCUGUGCCAAGUGUGGUGACCCGCAGUCAGCAGUGCAAGACGCUCCAACAUGGCGGACUCUCUGUGAGCGAGGUCUUGGAACCUGUCUUUCCAGCACCAGGACAGAGCUCCUUCUCUGCCGUUAGCCCUCGAAGCUGGAAACAGCCUUCUAGUCCCAGGGCAGUCUCCCUGCAUGGCUACUGUGUUCUGCCUGGGGUACUGGAAACGGUUCUGGGCUGCAGCAGGUGCAUCCACUGAGUGGAAAUAGCGGCCAGUUAUGGGGACUGGUAACCCCGGGUGUGCGGCAGCACUUGUGGGAAGACUUUUUUAUUAAAAAUAAAUCUAAAGU
rnacentral:lncRNA from 1 species